rnacentral:misc_RNA from 1 species
GAAAAAUCAAUGUGUUCUGUUAUUGAAGACUUCAAUUGUGAAUAGGUUGGGCAUCAUAGAUGCCCCAAAUAUUUGCAAAUAACUUAACACGAACCUCAUGUCCAAGGCACCUGACCUCCACAAAUCUUUACUGAUAGUGGUAGUAUACAAAUACUCAAGAAUCAAGAUACAGGAGAAGCCAAAUUCACCAAUAAUCACCACAAGAACAGGCUCCAUUCUUGAAGUGGUGAAACCUAUGCAUAUCACGCACUAUGAUUUCCCGUCCAGUAACAAGUGUAAUGUACUUUGUUGCAUUAUGGCAAUCGCCACAAACUCUUAGAUUCUUCCUAAUAUGUAUGGUUGUUCCUGGGAUUGUAUUCAGAAGUCCAUAGGCAAUAGCCAAUUUCUCACUAUGGGUGUUCAGCAACUGCUCCUUAACAUCAUCUUCCACAUCAUGGAUUGAAUUGGUAUCAGGUACAUAACCAGCAGCUUUGAUCUUGUCAACUAGCGUCUCAAGAAAAGCAUAGAUCCUUUUGGAUUGGGGAUGGCCCGUACUGCCAGAAUAGAAACUGUGAAUCUCAUUUCUUAAUUCCACCAAACUGCAGCCAGGAGUUUUCUGAAGCCCUUUCUUCCGCAUCAUAGUUCUCACUUCAGCUAGUUUGUCCCACAUUGAAGCUGUGGCAUAUAUGUUAGCAAGCAAUACAUGGUACCCACCCUCAUCUGGGUUCAACUCAAAGAGUUUAUUUGCUGCCUUCUCCCCCAACUCAACAUUCUUGUGAAUUUUGCAAGCACCUAGCAUUGCACCAUAAACAGUAAUCCCCGGCUCAAUAGGCAUCUUCUGAAUAAAAUACCAAGCUUCAUUAAGCCGGCCAGCUCGACCAAGAAGGUCAACCAUGGCUCCGUAGUGAUCCAUUGAGGGCUCUAGUCCAUAAUCGUUCUCCAUGCUAGCAAAGUAUGUAAGCCCUUCUUCCACCAUACCUGAGUGGCUGCAAGCAGAGAGAACACAUAGAUAAGUAAUAUCAUUUGGCUUGAUAGGCCCCCUUUGCAUUUCCAUAAAAAGUUCUAUAGCUGCUUUUCCAAGUCCAUGUGUCCCGUACGCAUCUAUCAUAGCAUUCCAAGUAAUCACAUGCCUUUCGCUCAUCAUAUCAAAAAGCUUUCUUGCAGUGUGAAUGGCUCCACAUUUUGCAUACAUGUCAACAAGAGCAGUCAUCACAAAAACAUUUUUGUCUAAAAGCCUCCGUAUAACAAGUCCAUGAAUCCACUUUGCUUGACGCGGAAUUGAUAACUCUGCAAGAGCAGGAAUAACACUCACCAAUGUGAAUGAAUCUGGCUUUAUAUUUCGAGAUUGCAUCUCACAAAAGGAAUUUAAGGCCUCGUUUAAUAGCCCAUUUUGGGCAUAACCUAAUAUCAUGGCAUUCCAUGAUACAACAGUUUUAUUUUGCAGGUUUUCAAAUAGAUUGGCAGCAAUAUCAACCCUCUUACAUUUAGAAUACAUUGAAAUCAAAGAGUUCAUCACAGAAACAUUAGAAUUGAGUUUCAACUCAUCAACUAGUUUAUGAACAAACUUUCCCUGCUCAAGAUUUCCCAAAUCAGAACAGGCAUGUAAAACUUCCAUAAGAGUAACAUCAGUUGGUUGAACUCCUUCAUGCAUCAUCUUCUGAAAUAGCACCAUUGCUUCCUCAGGCUCUCCACUUUGUACACACCCAUCAAUCAUUGAAUUCCAUGUAACAACAGUCCUACUACUCAUCCCAUCAAAAAUUACUCUAGCAGUUCCCACUGAUUCACAUUUUGAAUACAUGUCCACAAGAGCAGUUGAAACAUUCACAAGCGACUCAAACCCAGCUCUGAUAACAUACCCAUGAAUUGCCUUGCCAAUUCUCAAAGACCUCAUGUCUGCAACUGCAGGCAAAAUUGAGACAAUCGUGAUCCAGUCUGGCCUAUGCCCUUCCUCAAAUAUCCUCGGAACCAGCUCUAAUGCCACCUUCGCUAAUCCAUUUUGCGCAAACCCAGAAAUAAUUGUAUUCCAACAAACCAAAUCCCUCUCAGGCAUUCUAUCAAACAUCUUAUAUGCAUCAUCCAUUUGUCUGCAUUUCGCGUACAUAUUCACAACCCCAGUCAUAGCAAACAGAUUCCACGAGAACCCACUAGUUAUCAAUUGACCAUGAAUCUCCUUACCGCUCCUAAUAUCAAAAUUAUCACCACAGAGUUUCAACAAGUAAGUGAAAUUAUAUACAACAGGUCUAACGCUAUCAUGCCUCAUUCGACAAAAAAAUGACAAGGCAGCAUCUAAAGAUGAGUUCUUGGCGUAACCUUUGAGCAUAGUAUGAUAAAGGGCUUCUAAUUUAUCCUCAAUAGGUUCAAAAACACGAGCAGCUUCAGUUAAGCUACCGUAGUUGCAGAAGAGACUAACAAGCUUAGUUUGGAAGAGCUCUUCAUUGUAAAGUCCGUUCUUUAUGACAAGAGGGAGGAUUUGGUGGAGUUCUUUAAUGGAAGUGCAGAGCUCCAAGAGUAUGGCAGAUGGGUGCUUGUAAACGUGAGCUGGGAUGUGCGUUCUUUGGGAGAAACUGCGGAAAGUAGAAGGGAGUUGUUUGGAGUGAGAUGGAGAUGGUGGUAGCUGUGUUGAAGCGAAAGGCAAGAGCUGCAAGCUCAUCUUUUUCCCCGUUUCUCACUCAGUUGUACGGCUCCACUCUCUGUGGCACAGCAAGUCCCGUCUCUCUUCUUCUAAGAAUCUAAAGCUGCCUCUGGUCUCCUCCGACUGCGGUUUGCUCUCAGUUUCUCCAUCGUUUCUCUCUGUGCAAAUCCCAAUCCAACCCACAAUCCAUCGACCCAAUGGUGCCACCACCCAACCACCAAGCUACCCAGCAAUUCCUCUCCUCAGUCCUCUCU